GACGAACGCUGGCGGCGUGCUUAACACAUGCAAGUCGAACGGAAAGGCCCUGCUUUUGUGGGGUGCUCGAGUGGCGAACGGGUGAGUAACACGUGAGUAACCUGCCCUUGACUUUGGGAUAACUUCAGGAAACUGGGGCUAAUACCGGAUAGGAGCUCCUGCUGCAUGGUGGGGGUUGGAAAGUUUCGGCGGUUGGGGAUGGACUCGCGGCUUAUCAGCUUGUUGGUGGGGUAGUGGCUUACCAAGGCUUUGACGGGUAGCCGGCCUGAGAGGGUGACCGGCCACAUUGGGACUGAGAUACGGCCCAGACGCCUACGGGAGGCAGCAGUGGGGAAUAUUGCACAAUGGGCGGAAGCCUGAUGCAGCAACGCCGCGUGCGGGAUGACUGCCUUCGGGUUGUAAACCGCUUUCGCCUGUGACGAAGCGUGAGUGACGGUAAUGGGUAAAGAAGCACCGGCUAACUACGUG
rnacentral:rRNA from 1 species